AACAACAUGUGUUAAUUUAAGCAUUUGUCUGUCGAUUCACAUUCAAAUCUGUUGUUAGAUGGAUGGAUAGUGUUUUGUACAGGUAAAAUGUAAUUUCCAGGAAAAAGACACCAAAGGCUAUCAUUAUAAAAAGACCCCAAAGUCUCAUCAGACAAUGGUAAAUAAAAAUAGAGUACAAGUUGUGGACUUUUGUGCUAGUUGAAUUAUCAAAUUGCAUGCCUGGAAUAUACCUAAAGCUAGCUGACUAGCUCUCCCAACUUCAUUUGCAUCUGAGCUUUUUGCUGCAAAUGGCGCUGUGCUUCCCUUGUGCAUCCAUGUGAAAUACCUGUUGAUUCAGAUUUCAGAACUAGCUAGGUUGAUUCUUUACUAAUUUCAAAAAGCAAUAAUAAACUGGUUCAUGUUUAAAAAAGUUAUGUAGCACCUAACCAAUAUUCUUAAUGAUUUUAUUCAUGCUUAUGACACUUGAAUACUUCAUACAUUUUUGUCUUAGUAUGAUAAAUUGCAUGCCUAAAGCACUUCAAUUUAAAACUUGGAUCUAAGUCAGCACUACUUAUCGCUUUAUCAAUAAUAAUAUAACCUAGUAUGGGUUUAGUUAACCCUAGUGGGCUCAAUCAGUUUUUCAACCAUUUUAUAGACACGUGGCAUCAUAUGAUUGGGUGUACACACCCACAUACAAGUUGGCUACACAUAAAUUUUUUUGCUAUGAUUCUAAAGACCAGCCUCUUAUACAAUUGGUAAGUUAUUAAAAUACAUUAUAUUUGUUAACUGAGAAACCCUAAUUGUCUUUAUAAUUAGCACACAAUUACCACAUAUUUACUGGUUUAAUUCCAUUUACAACAUUUACCAAAACAACAAAAAUGAUUUCAAUACUUUUGAUCCAUGCCAAAAAAAUAGUUAAUCUACUGUCCUUACUUGUUAUGGGAACAAUGUAGUUCUGUACAUCUGUGUACACUGUACACACACAUGUAUGUUUUCUAUUUUUUUUUUUUUUUUUCUGAUUUGUGUAGUUCUCCAAUUCUUGUGUUUACACACACACAAAAAGAAUAAAAAAAAUGAUUGAGUUUAUUAGGAAAUAACAGGGAUAUGAUUUAGUCUGAUUUGCCUUGAACCACUUGAGUUCAUGACUUGAAAAAAAUACAAGCAUGUGAAAAUUAUGAGUGCAUAAAAUUUGACAAAACUCAACUCUGAAUCCCUAUUCAAUAAUUGUAUAGCAUUAUCUUCCAGACAGCUAGUAAUUACUUUUUAAAUAGGACUAAACGUGAUCAUUUACUUUCCCCCAACUAAUAUACUGUAUAUUAUUAAAUAACAGUCCAUCACCCUAGAGUCUAUAUAAGCUUUAGUCAUCUUCACCAAUUCUUCACAACAACAAAGCUAUUCUUACUCCAGUAACUGAGUGUCUGAGACAAUGUCUCUCUCCCUCUUAGCCACCUCCACUGUCCCUUCAUCAUCUUUGCUAAAUGUUAACCCUCUAAGAAGUAACACAAAGAACCGAUCCACGGUUCGUGUAGGUAAGAAAGUUGCUUAUACAUCUUGUGAGCAAAAACAAAGUAAUGAAGGAGAUAGCCAUACCAUUGAUAGGCGAAAUGUACUACUUGGGUUGGGAGGACUCUAUGGUGCCUCGGCUACUAUUGGUAGUCAAGGC
rnacentral:lncRNA from 1 species